CGGGACCGCGGACAGGCGGCAGGAUCCGCGCCCAGCAAGGACUUCAGAGCAUCAGCAUAGGCAGAGGAACCAGGAAGAGAGAUGAAGAUUCAGGGACUGAAGUGGGAGAAGGCACAGAUGAAUGGGCCCAAUCCAAAGCCACAGUUAGACCCCCUGACCAGCUGGAGUUGACCGAUGCGGUGAGAGUUAAAGGAGGAGUUCACUCGGAUUUUGACAGCCAACAACCCACAUGCACCCCAGAACAUUGUCAGGUACAGCUUCAAAAAGCAAUGGAGUCUGGGUUUCAUUCCUAAACUGAAGAGGAAGAUCCCAGUCAACUACUGGGGACAAGAUGAAGGUGAAAUCUCAAAUAAAACUGUAAGGGUAAUUUAUUCCUUGGGAAUCUUCAUCAUGAAAAUAGUUACUAUUUUAUUGAACAUUAAUAUUGAGCAUUUAUUAGGUGUCAGACACUGUGUUAAUAGGUUGUUUUUAUUAUUUUUAAUACUUAUAAUUAUCAUGCAAAUUAGAUAGUAUUAGCCUUCUUUUAUAGAUGAAGAACUUAGGGCUUAGAGUGGUUAAGCCCAAAGUCAUGAAGAUAAGAAGCAGCAGAAUAAAGAUUCAAACCCAAUUCUGCCUGCCUCCACAGACCAUGCUCUUAACCACUGCACUGUCUUGUCUUCCCAUACAUCUGAGUUACUGAAAGAAGAAGGGCUCUGUGGUGACUUUUAAAUACAGAGCUUCCCAACCUGUGUGAUGGCGAUCCUUCCAGCCCUCCAGGGGCAGGGAGAUCUGUGCAACUGGACUCCAUGAACUGGUUUCCUCUACUGUGAGUUUACCGUAGUGUGCCAUACAAACAUAGUUUCUGUAUGGCUUGAAA
rnacentral:sRNA from 1 species